rnacentral:rRNA from 1 species
ACUCGAGUGGCGAACGGGUGAGUAGCACGUGGGUGAUCUGCCCUGCACUUCGGGAUAAGCCUGGGAAACUGGGUCUAAUACCGGAUAGGAGCCAUUUUUAGUGUGAUGGUUGGAAAGUUUUUUCGGUGUAGGAUGAGCUCGCGGCCUAUCAGCUUGUUGGUGGGGUAAUGGCCUACCAAGGCGGCGACGGGUAGCCGGCCUGAGAGGGUGGACGGCCACAUUGGGACUGAGAUACGGCCCAG